GCGCGGAAGUGUGGCCCGACUCCCCGGCCCCAUUCCUGACCGUCAGAUUACGAUCGGGAGGCUCAAGCGCACCAACUGGCGGCGCCGCCCCGCCGCCGGAGAGCUCUCCGGCGUCGGUGCCUCACCGUCUCCCGUUAUUCCGGCGCCUUCCGUUCCUCGACAGAAGCGGGGCUAUGGUCGCCAGUCGUCACGCGCUCGCCGCACGAGCAGGAGCAGGAGCAGGGACUGCUGGCCGGUUAGCCUCCAGAUGGGUAGCUGUUCUGCGCAACAACUGGAGGAGCGCGGAGGGAGAAGGGACUAAACACGAGGGGGGAGGUGGAGGAGGCGGUACGACUGGUGAGCGGCCACUGCUUCCUACCAGAGCGAUGACUUUGCCUGCGGGGAUGGACAAUGAGAAUCCUUGGAGAAUUGGCUUAUCCUGGCGGGAAGGAUAUGCAAAGUGCACCCUACGGAAUUUGAUCUCUCCAUGAAUCUUGUCUAGUACUAAUCCACUUUUUGCAUAACUUAUGGAUGGCUUUCUCUUUAUCACCUUGAAGACCUCUUUUCCUGCAGUUUUUGCCUGAUUGAAGGUCUGAAGGUCUGGUGCGGCAUAGAUUAAAUUGGCUUUCCAUGCACUGGACAAAGGACUUCAUGGCCCAGCUCUCUCCAACGAAGGAGAAGACGGUCUUGAUAUGUGACAAAGUCUGCGAACAAAUGUAUAGGCAAGGAUUAUAAACAUAUAUAAUGAAGUGGGGGAUGAUCUGUGUAUCAACAUUUCUAUCUAUUCAGGUAACUUGGCUUGAGGUAUGUCUGUUAACUGAUGUCACAAUACCUGCUCUACAACUGAUACUGCCUCUGAAACAAUAGCAUUGCGUGACAAAGAUAAGACAUUCAACUUUUUCGUGUAUGCUGCUCCGAUGAUGAGGAUAAGUGGAAUGACCAGGAAGGAAAGCAUUGCAACUUGCCAGCAGCUGAUAAACGCAAUUAUGACACCAGCAAAGAAAGUGGAGAAGCUUGCGACGAAAUGACCCAGCUGCAGAAGAGUGAACUUAAGAUGCAGAUCUGACCACAGAGCUUCAAAAGACUUGCAUCAGUAUAAUGCUCAUAUGAUUGUGAAAUCCAUUACCUUCUCUCCUAUUGCAUCUUGUAUGACACUCAUGUAGUUGGUUACUCCGGUGAUGAUGGUUGCAGUAGUCAAGUCAGUGUCGAAGGCCCCAACCUCUUGAUUAAGGAUUGAUCUCAGAAACGCGAGCCGCAUGCGUGCUAACUGUCUCUCACUUGAGUAUAUCCAGCAGGAGAUCUCUGCAUGCGGCCAAUUCAUCCGAUAAAAGGUCUAGAUGGGGAAACAACAAAGGCGUGGCUUACUGGAAAUUUGAUUUGGGUUGAGAAAACUGAAAACCCAGCAGUGAUCCUCCCAGAUGGAGUAAAUAAGAGAGGAGGAGGGAAGAUGCUUAAUUUUCAUUAAUCUGCAUGUUAUCUCUACUAGGAAACAGCAACAAGCCAUUCCAUCAAAUGGGCUAAUCAGUACGACAACCGUGCAUGUUAGGAACGCACAAGGUCAGGUCCGGUCUGCACGCCACGCAUGCAAUAGGUUGAAGAGCGCUUACAAGACCAAGGCGGGUGUCGAGGAAUAACUGGAGCAUGAUUCGGGCAUAUGCCCCCUUGAGACUGCGCAUAGGACACGCGCGGCUGUCCAUGUCGCAAUGUCAUCGCGGCCAGCCCCGAAUGCUUGUCUUCGCCUGGCGCUGGCGGCCUGGAAACGCUUCGCUGAUGCGUUUGCUUCCAAACAGAGAAGCGCCAAAAGGGGAGGGCUCUCUCUUGCAGCGUGCGUUCAUUCUCAACUGACGAUGAAUGAGUGACUAACAACAGCUUCACCGGAAUACUCUUGUGCAGGCUGCUGAAGAUCUCCGCAUCUGGCUCGGUGGUGGUGGUUUUCGACGGGGUUUGAUGUUUUGGCUGAUGAGGAAGGGAACCGCAAUGGGUUCAUUCUCCAGAAUCUGGGGACAGGAGUUGCCACCUCGGCUUCGCAGCUCCGCGGCUGUCAGACGGCGGGUCUCGGACGGUUGCGCGCUGCGGCAGGCAUAUGCUGCCGGCUCUCUUGUUCGUUUUCUCAGUGGCCACCGGACCAGCGGCGCGUGCAGAAACAUCUCAGGUGUUGUUGGCGUGUUGCCAUGGCGUAAUCCGAGUCAUACAUAUCUCGUUCAUGGUAUAAGCUAGGAAUAUCCGGGUGCCAUGGCCCAUGGAUGGAAACACGCCGGGGACGACGACUCGUUCAAACGGCCUGUUCAAAAUUUCAAGUGUAUGUGUAUUUAUUUAUUUGUCU